rnacentral:rRNA from 1 species
CGCCUGCAAACAGUGUCUGCAUUAACUUGGCCCGCUCCUCUCUCUCGUGUGUGUGGCUAGAUAUUUCCUUCCCAAGCCCAUCUACUCUUUCUCUCUUCGCUCCUCCUUGAACCAUCGUCCCUAUCCGUCCCUCUCCCUCUGCCCCGGCGAGCCACCAUCCUGCUCCGCCCCGCGCUGCUGUGGCCCGCCUCCAACGCCACCCGCCCGUCGCCGGCGCUCCGGACGAAGCUCCGCUGCCACAUCGACUCCAACCGCCGACGGAUUCGACCUCCCAACCGACCCCAACGAUGGAUCCGGGUACGGAGGAAGCACGAAUCGGUCACUGCAGAUCCUGCAUGGGCUGAAACUUUGGGGAUGAAGAGGUUUCGUGGAAAAAGUUUCCCCGUCAACUCUGACACCAUUGGGAUGCAACGGCGGCGGCCAGCAGCAAUGCAAUGUUGCCGCUGGGGCAGCGACUGCUUGUGGCAAACAAAAGCAAGCAGCAGCUGCAGUACGCGGCGCUGGGCAGGGGGCUGUUUGCGUCAGCGAGCAGCGGCAGCCAUGGCUUCAGCAAGCAUCAGGAAAUAGGUGGCUCAGACUGAGAUGGGGAGCAACAAAUCCAUGCCGUUCUGUACCUGCUCGCCCUGUUUUUAGGAAUCUCUGUAGCUAUCCCCUGUUUUUAUUUUUAUUUUUGCGAGAAAUCCCCUGGUUAAUUGGUACCCGCCCAUCGAUCCAGGAAGUUAUUGUAAAAAAAUAUAUCCAGGAAGUUUAUUGUACAGCUUCUCUGUCUUCCAAGAUGUAAC